rnacentral:rRNA from 1 species
AUGAACGCUAGCGGCAGGCCUAACACAUGCCAGUCGAGGGAGAAGCCCUUUCGGGGGCAGAAACCGGCGCACGGGUGCGUAACGCGUAUGCAACCUACCUUUCACAGGGGGAUAGCCCGAAGAAAUUUGGAUUAAUACCCCAUAAUAUUGUUGGAUGGCAUCAUUUGGCAAUUAAAACUGCGGUGGUGAAAGAUGGGCAUGCGUCCUAUUAGCUAGUUGGAGUGGUAACGGCACCCCAAGGCUACGAUAGGUAGGGGUCCUGAGAGGGAGAUCCCCCACACUGGUACUGAGACAGGGACCAGACUCCUACGGGAGGCAGCAGUGAGGAAUAUUGGUCAAUGGUCGGAAGACUGAACCAGCCAUGCCGCGUGCAGGAAGAAUGCCUUAUGGGUUGUAAACUGCUUUUAUAUGGGAAGAAUAAGGCGUACGUGUACGUUGAUGACGGUACCAUAUGAAUAAGCAUCGGCUAACUCCGUG